AAAUAUCCCAAAGUUUCUGUGUGCAGGAGAAUCUGCUGUAGUCCGUCACUUCCUGGUACGCUGUAUAUCUUACACUUAAAGGGAUUGUACGGUGUCCGAGCUAAUGUUUCCCAACUAUUCAGGUUGGAGGGAAAAAAAAAAGAUGUAGUGUGAUGAUGUCAUGAAGUCGCGUGGGAUCGUGGGAUCAUGGGAUUGGUUGUCUCCAUUGUUAAACAACCAUCAGUGCUGACGAUACAGGCGUGAGGUGUUUGGAGCUUUUUUUUUUUCCAGAGGAAGCCACCACGCCUUGACCCGCCGAUAAAUGCUCUAAGCAGGCGGACCUGUUUUCUGGCAGAUGGUGUUUGUGAGUGACACCGGUUCCCAGCAGAAGCAGGCCCAGGGAUAUGAUCACAGUGGAGUCUCUAUAGAGCAAACCAGCCUGGUUACCUGACGGCAUAUGCUCUGCUGUGGCCUACACCUGCUGAAGGAUGGCGUUUACACCACAGUCCCUGGACUCCACCUCCGAGAAGGCUGUUAAUCACAGCUCACCACUCGUUCAGACAGGUCCAAUUAGAGAGUCUUCACGAGCAGCAACAACAGUGUGGACACCUGAAAUCACUAUUGGCAGAGGAGCAUUUAUUGCUGUUCCAGGUGUCAGGCCUGACCACACAACUGUGAUGACAGAGAGAAAACAGCCCUGAUGUAUGAUCCUGGUCUGUCACGACAGCUUUUUGAGGCUUUGGAGACGCCGAUGAUCAGGCGUAUGUGUGCAGAUCACUUCAGUGAUGAUUCCCAACAAGUAUGUCCAUGGCUGCUGCAGGAUCUACUAUGCACCUUGGCUUAUAACUGCACUUUUGGCUGAACCACCCAAAGAGUCACUCCAUUAAGAUCUGUCUUGUGCAGCCCAGUCACCACAAUCAAAUGUUGGAAGUUAACAUUUCUGCAAACUACUGACACAAUCACACUUCUAUGUGUCUUGCAUUCCAUAUUGAAAUUUCUACCAUCCAUGUCAAAUGGCAUCCAUCUUUUUUAAGGAGACUUCAGGACAAUUUCCAGCAGUAUUUAUGGCAACAGAAAAACAAAUAUUUUUGACAGGAAGUUGGAACAUCUCCAGAACUGUUUGCGGUGACAAAACUGGUUGUGUGAUGUCAGAACAUUUCAAGCCCUGUUUAUAGCAAUAAAACCAGGUAUUUUAAGCCACAACAUGAUGUUUUCCUAACCUUUAACACAUAUUUUUUUGUGUCCAAACGCAACCAAACCAUAAGCACAAUGUUGUCACAACAUAAAAUUGAAAACUGAACUUUAAAUUAAAUUGUCAACGUGAGAAAAUGUAAAGUUUCGAAAUAUCUGUGGUUUGAAAAAAUGUGUGUUUCCAACAUUUAUUCUGGAGGUUGGGUUGGUCUUGUGUCUCAACUGCAAAGCUCAGUUCUUGGAAAAAGUAUAAAAUUAAGUAAAAAUAUAUAUAAUAUUGCUCCACAGUGCAAAGAAUCUAUGCAAAACCUUUCUACAUUUGUUGUUUGGUGGUGUUUCGACUGGAAAAAUUAGAGGCCAUCUACAAAUGCCAGUAUGCAUAAGUUUGUUCGACAAUAGAGAGAGGAG
ensembl:lncRNA